rnacentral:rRNA from 1 species
CUCUUCUUGUUGUUUAUUUGAAGUAUGGCCUGCCCACUGAUUUAUUUGAAGGGCCGCGGUAUUUUGACCGUGCAAAGGUAGCAUAAUCAUUAGUUCUUUAAUUGUGAGCUGGUAUGAAUGGUUUGAUGAGACAUUGGCUGUCUUUGUUUGUAUUUAUUGAAUUUGUUGUUUGGGUAAAAAUACCUAGAUUUUUUUAUGGGACGAGAAGACCCUAUAGAGUUUUAUUUAAUAUUUUCUUUUUAGUUUGUUUUGGUUUUGUGAGGUUAUUUUAUUUUGUUGGGGUGAUGGGAAGAUAAAUGUAACUCUUCUUUUUUGUUUUCACUUAUUUGUGUUUUUGUGAUCCUUUAUUAUUGAUUAUAAGAUCAAAUUACCUUAG